rnacentral:rRNA from 1 species
AGAGUUUGAUCAUGGCUCAGGACGAACGCUGGCGGCGUGCCUAAAACAUGCAAGUCGAACGGUUCUAGCAAUAGGACAGUGGCGAACGGCGGAGUAAUACGUGAACAACGUGCCCCAAAGACCGGGAUAGUUAUUGGAAACGAUGGGUAAUACCGGAUGUGGUGGUUUGGACUCAUGUUCAGAUCAUUAAAUGGUUUUUCGCUUUGGGAGCGGUUCACGGCCUAUCAGGUAGAUGGUGGGGUAAUGGCCUACCAUGCCGACGACGGGUAGCGGGUCUGAGAGGAUGAUCCGCUCGAGUGGGACUGAGACACGGCCCACACACCUACGGGUGGCAGCAGUUGGGAAUCUUGCACAAUGGGGGAAACCCUGAUGCAGCGACGCCGCGUGGAGGAUGAAGGGUCUAGGCCUGUAAACUCCUUUUUUCAGGAAAGACUUAGGACGGUACCUGAAGAAUAAGCACCGGCUAACUACGUGCCAGCAGCCGCGGUGAGACGUAGGGUGCAAGCGUUGUCCGGAUUUACUGGGCGUAAAGAGCGCGUAGGCGGUCUGUUAAGUGUAGAGUGAAAGCUCCGGGCUCAACCCGGAAAUUGCUCUGCAUACUGGCAGACUUGAGGGAUGCAGAGGUUUGUGGAAUUCCUGGUGUAACGGUGAAAUGUGUUGAUAUCAGGAGGAACACCCAUGGCGAAGGCAGCAAACUGGGCAUCAUCUGACGCUGAGGCGCGAAAGCGUGGGUAGCAAACAGGAUUAGAUACCCUAGUAGUCC